rnacentral:rRNA from 1 species
GUCCACGCCCUAAACGAUGUCAACUGGUUGUCGGGGAAGCAAUUCCUUGGUAACGAAGCUAACGCGUGAAGUUGACCGCCUGGGGAGUACGGCCGCAAGGUUAAAACUCAAAGGAAUUGACGGGGACCCGCACAAGCGGUGGAUUAUGUGGAUUAAUUCGAUGCAACGCGAAAAACCUUACCUACCCUUGACAUGUACGGAACCCCGCAGAGAUGAGGGGUGGCCCGAAACGGGAAGCCGUAACACAGGUGCUGCAUGGCUGUCGU